UCUGAGGUCAAAUGGCAAUUUCUAACUGG
rnacentral:piRNA from 1 species